rnacentral:rRNA from 1 species
AUGCAGUCGAGCGGUAACAUUUCCAGCUUGCUGGAAGAUGACGAGCGGCGGACGGGUGAGUAAAGCAUAGGAAUCUGGCCGAUAGAGGGGGAUAGCCCGGAGAAAUCCGGAUUAAUACCGCAUGUACUCUAAGGAGCAAAGCAGGGGAUCUUCGGACCUUGCGCUAUCGGAUGAGCCUAUGUCGGAUUAGUUAGUUGGUGGGGUAAAGGCCUACCAAGGCGACGAUCCGUAGCUGGUCUGAGAGGAUGAUCAGCCACAUCGGGACUGAGACACGGCCCGAACUCCUACGGGAGGCAGCAGUGGGGAAUAUUGCACAAUGGGCGCAAGCCUGAUGCAGCUAUGCCGCGUGUGUGAAGAAGGCCUUAGGGUUGUAAAGCACUUUCGGUAGUGAGGAAAAGUAUAGUGUUAAUAGCGCUAUACCGUGACGUUAACUACAGAAGAAGGACCGGCAAACUCCGUGCCAGCAGCCGCGGUAAUACGGAGGGUCCGAGCGUUAAUCGGAAUUACUGGGCGUAAAGGGCGCGUAGGCGGUUAUUUAAGUGAGAUGUGAAAUCCCCGGGCUUAACCCGGGAACAGCAUUUCAAACUGGAUAACUUGAGUAUGUUAGAGGGUGUUGGAAUUUCCCGUGUAGCGGUGGAAUGCGUAGAUAUGGGAAGGAACAUCGGUGGCGAAGGCGAACACCUGGAAUAAUACUGACGCUGAGGUGCGAAAGCGUGGGGAGCAAACGGGAUUAGAUACCCCGGUAGUCCACGCCGUAAACGAUGUCUACUAGCCGUUGGGAUUCAUAGAAAUCUUGGUGGCGCAGCAAACGCGAUAAGUAGACCGCCUGGGGAGUACGACCGCAAGGUUAAAACUCAAAUGAAUUGACGGGGGCCCGCACAAGCGGUGGAGCAUGUGGUUUAAUUCGAAGCAACGCGAAGAACCUUACCCGGUCUUGACAUCCUGCGAAUCUUUUAGAGAUAGAAGAGUGCCUUCGGGAGCGCA